rnacentral:rRNA from 1 species
AUGAACGCUGGCGGCGUGCCUAACACAUGCAAGUCGAACGGAGUUUAACGCUGAUGAAGCUUCGGCAGAUUCUUGUAAACUAGUGGCGGACGGGUGAGUAACGCGUGGGUAACCUGCCUCAUACAGGGGGAUAGCAGUUGGAAACGACUGAUAACACCGCAUAAGCGCACGGUAUCGCAUGAUACAGUGUGAAAAUAUUUAUAGGUAUGAGAUGGACCCGCGUCUGAUUAGCUGGUUGGUGAGGUAACGGCCCACCAAGGCGACGAUCAGUAGCCGGCCUGAGAGGGCGGACGGCCACAUUGGGACUGAGACAUGGCCCAAACUCCUACGGGAGGCAGCAGUGGGGGAUAUUGCACAAUGGGCGAAAGCCUGAUGCAGCGACGCCGCGUGAAGUGAAGAAGUAUUUCGGUAUGUAAAGCUCUAUCAGCAGGGAAGAAAGGCCUCGAAAGAGGAGAUGACGGUACCUGAGUAAGAAGCCCCGGCUAACUACGUGCCAGCAGCAGC